AAUGAACGCUGGCGGCGCGCCUAAUACAUGCAAGUCGAGCGAGAAGACGUAGCAAUACGUUUGUAAAGCGGCGAACGGGUGAGGAAUACAUGGGUAACCUACCCUCGAGUGGGGAAUAACUAGCCGAAAGGUUAGCUAAUACCGCGUACGCUCCUUGGACUUCGGUUCAGGGAGGAAAGCGAUACCGUGGGUAUCGCGCUCUUGGUUGGGCUCAUGUCCUAUCAGCUUGUUGGUGAGGAACGGCUCACCAAGGCUUCGACGGGUAGCUGGUCUGAGAGGACGAUCAGCCACACUGGCACUGCGACACGGGCCAGACUCCUACGGGGAGGCAGCAGUAAGGAAUAUUGCGCAAUGGGGCGAAAGCCUGACGCAGCGACGCCGCGGUGGGGGA
rnacentral:rRNA from 1 species